GGGGCUGUAGCUCAAUGGUAGAGCACCUGCCUUGCACAUGUGAGGCACUAGGUUCAAUCCUCAGCACCA
rnacentral:tRNA from 1 species